rnacentral:rRNA from 1 species
UACGAAGGGGGCUAGCGUUGCUCGGAAUCACUGGGCGUAAAGGGUGCGUAGGCGGGUCUUUAAGUCAGGGGUGAAAUCCUGGAGCUCAACUCCAGAACUGCCUUUGAUACUGAAGAUCUUGAGUUCGGGAGAGGUGAGUGGAAUUCCCAGUGUAGAGGUGAAAUUCGUAGAUAUUGGGAAGAACACCGGUGGCGAAGGCGGCUCACUGGCUCGUUUCUGACGCUCAGGCGCGACAGCGUGGGGAUCAAACAGG